rnacentral:rRNA from 1 species
CGUUAGCGGCGGACGGGUGAGUAACACGUGGGUGACCUACCUAUAAGACUGGGAUAACUCCGGGAAACCGGGGCUAAUACCGGAUAACACAUGAAACCGCAUGGUUUCAUGAUGAAAGACGGUUUUGCUGUCACUUAUAGAUGGACCCGCGGCGUAUUAGCUAGUUGGUAAGGUAACGGCUUACCAAGGCAACGAUACGUAGCCGACCUGAGAGGGUGAUCGGCCACACUGGAACUGAGACACGGUCCAGACUCCUACGGGAGGCAGCAGAG